rnacentral:tRNA from 1 species
GGGCCUAUGGUCUAGUGGUAUGACGCGGCAUUCGCAUUGCCGAGACGCCAGUCCGAUUCUGGCUGGGUCCACCA